GAUGAACGCUGGCGGCGUGCCUAAUACAUGCAAGUCGAGCGAACAGACGAGGAGCUUGCACCUCUGACGUUAGCGGCGGACGGGUGAGUAACACGUGGAUAACCUACCUAUAAGACUGGGAUAAAUUCGGGAAACCGGAGCUAAUACCGAAUAAUAUAUUGAAACGCAUGGUUCAAUAGUGAAAGACGGUUUUGCUGUCACUUAUAGAUGGAUCCGCGCCGCAUUACCUAGUUGGUAAGGUAACGGCUUACCAAGGCAACGAUGGGUAGCCCACCUCAGGGGGUGGUCGGCUAGCCUGGAUGUGAGGCUCGUCCCAGACUCCUGCGGGAGGCCGCAGUCGGGAAUCUUCCGCAAAGCGCCAGAGCCUGACGUAGCACCGCCGCGUGAGUGAUGAAGGUCUUCGGCUCCUUAAGCUCUGUUGUUCGUGGGGUACUAAUGUGUUAUUAACUGUGCACAUCUUGACUGUACCUGAUCAGUAAGCCCCGGCUAACUACGUG
rnacentral:rRNA from 1 species